CGGACGGGUGAGUAACGCGUGGGUAACCUGCCUUAUACAGGGGGAUAACAGUCAGAAAUGACUGCUAAUACCGCAUAAGACCACAGCACCGCAUGGUGCAGGGGUAAAAACUCCGGUGGUACAGGAUGGACCCGCGUCUGAUUAGCUGGUUGGUGAGGUAACGGCUCACCAAGGCGACGAUCAGUAGCCGGCUUGAGAGGUUGAACGGCCACAUUGGGACUGAGACACGGCCCAGACUCCUACGGGAGGCAGCAUG
rnacentral:rRNA from 1 species